CUUGUUCCACGCCUUCCAAUUAAAUUCUGCCCUUUGACUCUUUCAAAGUUAUCUACCCAUCCACUUUUUUCUCUUCUUCCAGAUUGUAUGUUGGCUAUCUGCUUGAAGUUCCCUCUGGUUCGUUCCUUCUACAAAUUUCGAUCGGUUGAAGCUCUUCCAGUCAAGCUGUGUAUUUGGGAUCUUGUUUUAGGCGGCUGAAAUCUAUGUAAUUCUCUCCAGAUUCUCCCCAAUUCGUGAAUUUGGGAAGCUACCCUCUUUCUCCAAUUUGUCUGCCAGCUCUCCCCUAGUUUUGUCCACUCCAAACCCUCUUCAUUAGGUCGUGUAAAAAAAUAAAUUAAAUUAGAAUUUUUUAACAACGAAUUUUAGCCCCUACUUGAUGGCCAUUAUUAAAAAAAAAUAAUAAUAAUAAUAAUAAUAAAUAAAAGAGUUCUAAAAAUAAUGAUUUUUUGGAGAAUGUGUGGUUUAAAAGUCAAAAAAAAAAUGAGCUUGCGUGUAAAAUAUUUUAUUGUAUAGAUGUGUGGUUAAAUCCAAAUUUAUAGUGAGUAAUAGAAGAUAUUUUUCAAAGUUUAGUGAUCAAAUUUUGACAUUUUUCAAAGUUCAGCGAGCAAUAGAAGAUAUGUUUCAAAGUUUGGUUGCCAAAAUUCGACCAUCUCAAAGUUUAACUGUGUGACGAGGCACCACGUGUGCAUCCCGUCGGCUAUGUCUCGAAUUUUUUAGGGGUUUGAGACGGAAGGUAUGCUAGUUAAUAACGUACAAUAUUUCUCAAAGUUUAGUGGUCAAAACUCAACAUUUAAAACUUUAGUGAGCAAUUGAAGACAUGUACCUAAGUUCUAUGACCAAAACUCGACAUUAUAAACUUUAGUGAGCAAUCGAAGACAUUAGCCUAAAUUCAGUGAACAUUGGAACAAUUAGCUUGAAACUUAGAAAAAAAUCCUCAAAUAUUAGAUGUCUUUUGAAAAAUCAUAAAAGUAUGUUGAAAUUAAAAAACAUUAUGUAAAGUUAAAUGUCUCUUUUCAAAGUUAAAACUGACACGCGAUAUGUUUUCACCAAAAAAGUUGACAGGAAUUUUUAAAAAAAAAGUAAAAAUCAAUUAAAAAAAAGUAACGGAAGAAAGUGACAAGCACUAUUCAAAAAUGACAAAAGUUAAAAAAGAAAAAAAAAAGAAAAAAUAGUGAUACACUCAAAAAAGUGAUAAAAUACCAAUCAAAAAUUAUGUUUGUCACUCAAAAAGUGAAAAAAUUAAAAAAAAAAACAGAUAAUAAAAAAAAGUGACAGAAAAAAGCGACACUUCAAAAAAGUGACAAACACUACAAAUACUAAAAAAAGUGACAAAACACUAAUCAAAACAUUAAAAUAUAUCAUUUUAUACAAAUUUAACCACUCCUUCAAUAUACAAACUUAUUUCAUAAUUAUUUUCCUACACAAAUUUUAAAUUUCCAAAAGAAAAGAAACUACCAAAUCGCCACCCUCUAAUUUCUCGGGCGUUCAUUUUAUCUUUUCUUUUCUUAGUCGCAUUUCUCCCCAAUAGAAAUAAUUCAAUCAAUUUUAUGGAGAAAUCCUCUUUGACUCAUUAAUUUUAUUUUACAAGACAAAGGUGAACCUUCUUCUUUCUUUGGUAGUCUAUUUUUUUUUUUUUUUUGUUAAUUUUGAAUUUAAUGAUUGAUUAGUGAUUAGUUUUCAAUUAUUGAUGCAUUGAGGAAUGAAUCUUUCUUUUAUUGUUAAAUUUGAGUUUUAUGAUUGAUUUAUUUCUUGUUAAUUGACUGAGGAUGAGGAGGUGGAAUACUAAUAGAGAAGAUGAUGCUGAGUCAAGAAGUAUUGUCGUCGAGGAAAAGCAUGUCAUUGGAUAGCUCAAUUCUAUAGGAAGAAAUUCAUCGCAAAGAACAGUGGGGAAGGAUUAUAGUGACAUUUAUGGUCUCUUUAAUCAGUUACGAGAUUCGGGGGUUUUGGUUUUGGGGGUAUGUUUUAUUUUAAGACUUAAUUAAUACGAGAUUUUAUGCGAUGUUUAAUUAAUUUAGGAUAUUAAUCCAAUUGGGUAACUUUUUAGAGCAUUUGGCCUAAUUUCCUCUUAUUUUAUCAAAAUUUAAAGUGGAAUCUAGAAUCCUUAGGCCCUAAAGCUCAUUAUAGCCUAUUUGAGCCUAUCUUUUCCAAAUUCAUUUCAAUCACACAUUCUCCCAUCAAAUAAUUUUUCACGUAAAUUUAAAUUUUUUUCAAUUUUUUAAAUCAUGCAUUCUCCGAAAAAUUACGAUGUCAAAGUAUUUUUUUUAGUUAAAGGAGGAUGGUACUUCCUAUAUAUUAUUAAUAUGCCCUCACUUGUGAUAGAGGAAUACCGUGGUUACAUGAGAAAAUAAUGAAAGCAAUAAACAAGGAAAUACUACUUCCCUUACAAAGAGAAUAAAUGACAAAGAACAAACAUAAAGCUAUAAGAGAGGAAGUACUACUUCCCUUACAAUGAAGAUAAAUGAUAAAGAACAAACGUAAAGCUAUAAAAAGAAAAAGUACUACUUUCCUUACAAUAAGAAUUAAUGCAAGUGAUUACAAAAAGAAGAAGAAUAAUAAUAAAUAAAUAAUCAUACUCUAAUGUUGGGCAGUCCAUAUCUUUCAAUCUGUACCAGUGCCCUAAUGUGUCAUGGUAAGUCAGCUGCUCUAUAUAUGUGGUAUCGGCGAUGAUACCAACCCUCUACAGCAAGAGCAUCUGCUACUUGGUUUUUCUUUUUGUAGAUGUGGGAAACUGUAGCUCUAUCGAUGGAUACGAUGUCUAUGAUUUGUCUAAGAAUACCCUGAAUAGCCCAUGGUCCUCCCCCUUUAGUGAUGCAGUGAAUAGCUAAAAGCCCAAGAACAACUAACCAAGAGGGGCAUGAAUUGGUUAAUUGAAACUUUUUCACAAAUUUAAGCAAAUAACUAUGAAUAAACAAGAUAACACAAAAGUAAUAAGAAGAAGGGAAAAGAGAGUGCAAACGAUGUAAUAAGGAGGUUCAUCCAAUCACGAUCUACGUCCACCGUUACCGAGCUCUCCGUCACGAGCAAGGUCUUUUUCACUAUGUUGAUUGACUUAUGGUGCAAUCCAACCUUCUACAAAGCUUUCGGUGACUUACAAACAAGGAGCACUGAUUUUUUACAGCGUUGAGCUUUCUAGGAUCUCAACACGACCCACACUAUUGAGCUUUACGGGACUUCAAUAUGACCUACACGGUGACUGACAACAAGGAGCUCCAAUCCUUAUACAUCAUUGAGCUUUUCGGGACCUCAACACGACCCACAACCAAAACCAAGAGAGUGAAAUAUUACAAGUGAAAAAUUUCUCUCUUAAUAAAUGAUAUCGACACAAUUAAGUAUCAAGAGAGAAGAACGCUCAACACUUCAAUAAAUUGCAAAGAGUAUAGCUCAAGUGUUGGUUGAAAAAAAUUGAUGAAUAUGAUAAUUAAAAGUUAAAUUCAAUGAAUCAAAGUUUUCAAUAUGAAGAAGUUGAAGAGUUUGUGUAAUGUAAGUAGAAAGAACUUCUUCAAAAAUAUAUCUCUCUUAUAAAUUUGAUAUUAUCAAGUUAAGAAUAAAGAGAGAUGAAAACCUUUGAUGAGUAAAAGUUGAUUCAAGAAAUUUGAUUUAACAAUCAAGGUUUUCAAUGUGAAGAAGUAGAAGAAUUUAUACAAUGUGAGUGCAAAUACCUUCUUCAAAUAUAUAUCUCACCUUGGAAAUUAAUACAAACAAGUUAAGCUCCAAGAGAUAUGAAAAACUUUGAUGAAAGGAUGAUUCAAGAAAUUUAAUUCAAAGUUUUGUUGUGAAGAAAUAAAUAAAAUGAAAAUAAAAGUUAAGCUUCAAAGAAGAUUUUUCACAAUAAUAACUCACAAGAAAGCUCUCUUCAUUGUUAUGUUGAGGAAUGGAAGAGAAAUGGAAUUUAUAGAACUCAAUGGACAAAAAUCUAUCCAUCCGGAUGUCCGGUUAUGAUCCGAACACCCAAAACUAGCCGUUGUGUAAUAGUAAAAAAAAAAAUUACCGUUCGCGGAUCCGGAUGUCUGGUUGACCGUUGACCGGACCUUUUUUUUUUCCAUAAAGAAUCAUGGUCUAAGUUCAAAGAUGACUUUUGAAAAAUCAAACUUAUUUUCUUUUGUUAAAAACAUUUUAUGCAAGUGGUAGUGAAAAUAAUUUUUGGUACACAAAAUGAUUUUGUGUCGUGAAAAUGUUUUCGUGCAUAAAAACUGUUUGAGCUAUAAUCGAUGCGAAAUAUUAAAGUGUUCUACCUUUACAUUUGAGUUCAAAAACGCAUCUAUAUCAAAUGUCUUCAAUAUCUUCUUCCAAUGUGAUUUUUGAUGCAAAUGCUCGAUUUCCAUCUCCACGUUCGUCUAUCUCCAAUUUGCUUCCAUGUUGAUCUCCAAGCAUCAAAAUCAUUUGUCCAUGUGCGUGAUUCUUGAUCCCGAUUCUAGCGCCUUCAUUUGUUGUUAAUUCCAUGAUAAUUACUAUCAACACUCAAAUUCAAUUUGUUAGAAUUAAACGCAAUUUGUUUGUGAUAAUCAAAACGAGAAGUCAACCAUUUGGUCAACAAUAGCCACUUUAGAAUCUGACUCAAUCCAAAUGUCUGAAAGACCGAGUCCUCUAGCUAGUAGAAUUCCAUCAAGAAUAGCCCUGAGCUCUGCCUCUAAUAUCAUGCACGUUCCAUAUGUAGUUGAAAAAGCCUUGAUACAGGAUCAUGCGUGAUCGUUGAUGAUACCUUUCCCAUUUGCAAUACCAUCCUUGACGCAUCCAUAAGUAUUGAUCUUGAUAUAUCCAAGUGAUGGAGUAGCCUACCAAACCAGAAUUGGAGGAGAUUGGGUAGGGGAAUCAAAGAAAUACCAAAGAUGGGUACAAGAGUCAAAUCUCUUUGUCAACGCAUAGCUUGAAACAUUCCUCCAAUAUGUAGAAAAGAGAUCAUGUGAUAGACCCUCCAUAUGAUACGUCUGGCCACCAUACAGAUCCUCCUAUGCUUUGCAUCAUUCCUCUCGGUCCAAAGAAACCAAAAUACCAGUAGAGGAAUAAUAGUACAAAUGUGUCCACAACGAACAUACUGUCCAGAAUACCUCUAUCUAACUCCCUCUUCUAAACUCAUAGGUAUCUGAAAAAUGUUCCCAAAAUGUUGUCGUACAUGAUCAGAAAUGUUACUGUCGGUGAAAAUAUGACUAAUAGACUCAAUCUCAGAACAACAUUGGCAGCGGGAAGCUGAUUGAUAGCCAAUCCUCCUCUGGAUAACCACAUCUACUAGAAUGAGGUCCUGCAUAGCCUCCAGCAGAAAAUAAGACAGUGGUUGGCAAAAUGGUGUUCAACAGUAGUCGAUAUGAAUUCUGAUUCUGGCAUCCUAAAUGUAUGAACUGCCAUGCCAACUUGGUAGUAAAGCUACCAUUCAAUGUAUCCCACCAAACAAUACAAUCUGGGGCAUCACACAUAAAGGUAUAGCCCCUAUCUCCUUUGCCAUAAAAGGAGGGAGAACCUGCAAUAAGCGUCCAAUGUCCCACUUAGGAUCAUCAAAAAAUGCCUGCACCCUCGCAGAUGUGUGCUGCUAGUGUGGUAAUAAUGAGUCCAAAGUGGUGUCUCCCUUCCAACAAUCAUGCCAAAAAAAUAUCUAACCUGCUCCAAGGUGCCAUACAAUGUGUGGCUCUAUCCGGGGCUCGAACAAUUUUAGCCUUUUCCAGGCAGGAGAAGCUGAGUGGGAGACUGCUGCAAGUAAAUGAUGUGUUCCCAUAUAAUAUUUGCCAAGUAAAAAUUAGGUCCAAAGUGAUCUCUGAGAACGAAACAACCACCAGAGCUUUUAUGGAGAAGGUGUCUACCAUAUCCUGUAAUCUUCUGAAACCUAGACCACCUUCAUUAGUAGUGAUGUGAACCCAGUUAGCUAGGUUGCUAUCAAACCCAUAGGAAUUGACAAGGACCCCAAGAACGCCCAAAUAAUGAUCAAGAUUUAGGAAUCAACCCACAAAAGUGAACUAAGCAACCGAACGUAUAUGAAAUGAACGACCUCUUAAUCACACAAUCUUGAAAUCUCCUCCGGAUUUGUGGAUUUGACCCAAAGAAUUAAUGAAUCAAACAACCCAAUGAUAACUACGAUGCGAACGACCAUUUGAUUACACAAUUCAAUGAUUCAUACCCGAUGUUUUGUUUGAACACCAUAAGAUAUCAAAUCUUGAUAAGUUCAGUAUUUUGAAGCAAAAGCUUCAAAAGAAAAUUUAUUUAAUAAUCCAUGAUAAAAGUUGUGUUACAAUGAAGAAAAUAAAACCUAAUUAUAUGGAAAACUAAAAACCUAAUUUUAUAAGGAAUAAAAGUCUAAGAAAUCUAGUUUUAAAAGGAAAUCUCAUGCUAACAUUGUAAAGAUAAGGAAAGAUUGGAAUUCUAAAACAAUAGGGACUCCUCGCAAAUUUUGGAAUUUUUUGGUCGUUUUUAGCCUAUGCGACCGCAAGGCAUUAAUGUAUGUGGUCGCAUGAUAUAUGGAGUUCGGCCCUCCAGAUCCCUGUAAUAUGUUGUGCGGUCGCAAGGACUUUUUAACCAAGCGGUCGUAUGGUUACGAUCUUGGUCUGAUUUCCAGUCGCAUGUAACACCUUGAUUUGUUUGGUUUCGACCUUGGAACCCUUCAUCAAAUAUGUCAUUUGGCUUCACAUCUUCAACCUCUUAGACUCCAAUGCUUCAAUCAGUAAUUGUACAGCUUGAAUUCGACCCCCAAUUGGUCUCCAACUAAGCUCAAACUUUGCCCUUGGCCUCUCGCCCACCGUCAACAAGCUCUCAUUCAACUCGAGCCUAUUCUAGAUCACAUUAAGUAGAAAGGCGAUCCUUCCAUCUCUGCCAAUGUAACCACAAUGCCUGUUCCUUGGAAUCCCAUAGGAAUCGCGCAAAGAUGCUCUCAAGUUUCUUCAAGCCAGCCUUAGGGUGCUGCAUAAUUUGAAGAAGAUGUAGUGGCAUAGAAAAAACAUUGAUCUCAGCAAGAUAAUAUGGCCACCAGGUGAUAAUAAUCGUGAAGCCCAACCUGAGAUCUUAUCCCUGGCCUUCUAGAUAAGAUUAUCAUAAAUGAAGCUCCUUCUAAUCCUCUUAGAUAAGUGGACUCCCAAAUAAAUGAAAGGUUGUUGCGGGUGUCGAAAUCUAGUCAAAAUCUCCAAUCGUCUGAUCUGACUAAUGGAUGCCCUUCUAGCUAGUAUAAGUCCACUCUUGUCCCUAUUCACCAACUGAACAAAAAUCCCUUCAUAAUGUUCCAGACAAUGAAAAAGCUUCCUAAUAGACUGUUUCUGGCCGUUGGAGAAUAUGAUCAUAUCAUUAGCAAGUGAAAGGUAUGAGAUAAGAGUACUACCUCCAUGCCGAUAACACAUACUGGGAUACUUCUGAAACCUCUAAGUGAGUAGGCGUGAGAAGUAGUCUGCAGCUAUGAUGAACAAUGAUGAUGAAAUGGGAUCACCCUGUCUGAGCCCUCGUAAGGAUGAAAAAAUCACAUGGGCGACCAUUUAGGAGUACAGAAAAAUGACACUCCGAGAUGCAUCGCCUAAUCCUGUCGAUCCAAAUUUGAUCAAAUUCGAAUGCCUCCAAUACAAAAUAAAUGAAGCCCCUAUCCAUAAGAUCAUAUGCUUUAGCCAUGUCUAGCUUCAGCACAGUGUUACUCCCUCAUACUCUAGCAUCCAAAGAAUAGAGUAGCUCCUGAGCUAAUAACACAUUAUUCGCAAUCAAGCGGCUAGGGAUAAAUCCACUUCAUGGAGGAGAGAUAAUGCGUGGUAAUAGUGAACUCAACCAAUUGUUCAAAAGCUUAGUUAUAAGCUUAUUGAACAUUGUGCAUAAACUGAUGGGUCUGAAGUCAGUCCAUCUACAAGCUUCAUAUAUCUAAGGGAGUAAAACGAUAGUUCUAGUGGUAAAACCCCGUGGAAGAUGGCCACCUUAAAAAAAGUCCAAACGGCCCUAUAUAUAUUGUCCUAAAUAAUAUCCCAGCAAUACUGGAAGAAUAGAGAUGAGAACCUAUCCAGACCUACAGCACUAUUAGCAUCUAUGCUAAAAAUCGCCUCCCAUACCUCAUGAAUUAAAGAUGGACGCUUUAGAGUCAAAUUAUCAUCCUCCGUCAAGAGCCUGGGAAUAAUAUCAGAAAGGAUGGGGUCCAAAAGCUAUGGAGAAUCAAAUAGAAGAUUCUGGUAGAACUUCGACAGCCCUGCACCAUCGUAUGAAAGUAUCGAGUAUUAUGAUCUCCCUCACAUACCCAACAUAAGCCUGCCUUUAGCUUCCAAAAGCCCUCCUCAAUAGAUAAAGUUUGAUUCAAAUCUGCCUAAGCAUGAUGUAGUAACUUGCGAUGCUCCGGUGUAGGGUCAUUGUCAUAUACUGCCUCUGCUUCAUCAACCAUAUCCUCAGCGUCCCUCACCCUUUGGAACACAUCUCCAAUCACAUGUCGAUUUCACCAACGCAGUCCCUAUUGUAGCCUUAAGAACUUCUCCAAAGAACAGUCAUCUCUAUAAGAUGUGUAGGGAGUGACCAGUUUUGAGAGACAAAGGCUAAAAAAUCAUAAUGCUUGGUCCAAACAUUGAGGAAUCUGAGAAGUUUAGGCCCCAAAUUAUCAUCAGAUACCUAUUGAAGUAGUAAAGGCGAAUGAUCAGAUGAAGUCCGAUUCAAGUUCCUUAUUGUAAGUUGUCGACAGAAUGCUGUAGCUGUAAAAUUAAUAAGUAUCCUAUCCAGUCUCUUUCUAACUUGACCCAUUGGUCCUAGUGUAUCGAUUCCCAAGAAAGCUAGCAUCCUCCAAGCCAUAGUCUAACAUCAUGUCAGAGAAAGCAGUAGUGCUUCCAUCAUUAAUAUUAUGACCAGUGCGUUCACCAUCAUGUGUGAUAACGUUGAAGUAUCUCCCAACUAGCUAAGGGUCGUCCAUAUCAAGAAAAAUGUGGGGAAGAGCCGUCCACAAAUCCCUCCUGAUAGUCGCCUAACAUGAAGCAUAGACGGGAGUCAGAUAGAUGGGACGUGCUAGUCUAGGAUCCUCAACUCUAACUUGAAGGAAUUGGGAGAUGAUCAACAAUAAUAGUAACAAUAGUGCCCACAUUCCAAACAAACCAUAUCUUGUUCGACUCAUUCUGAACAUCCAUGUCAAAGCUUAGGUAUCAUCAAAUAUGUGUAAAUCUAUGUUGUAGAACUGAAGGCUCCAGUGUAACCAAGCGAUAAACUUGAUGAAGCCAUAUAAGUCUUCUUAGGCGCCGGCGAGUCGCCACACUAGUUGUAGCUCUCGCAUUCCAUAUGAUGGCACUCAUAGGGACAUAGAAUAUGAGAGGUAUCAUGUGACUGGCUCCUAGUAACUCUCCUACUCAGAUGUGGAAUAUUAGUAGCCCGCUGUUGUUUCUUUCGUUUAACCCGAACCAAAUUUUCAUCCCCUGUUCAUCCAACCAUUCCAAUCAGAUCCUCGUUAGAGGACCUACAAAAUAUGCCUUACUGGUACACCUCAAUCUGUGGUGAUCACUCUAUAUCGGGCUGUUCAGACUCUAGAGAUGGAAUAGAUGCCUCAACGUUCUGCUGAUAAAGAGAAGUAUAGUGGUAAUAGGUGCCAGAGUAAGUGGAGAUGGACCUAAAAUCUGUGUAGCUCUGAUACCUUCAUACUUUGAGUCAUCUGGCAUCAGUGGUUUUUAGACCAUAAAAUCCACAAGGGAAUUGAAAUAUGAAGUAUAGGCGGCAUGUCGACUUGAGGUGAAUUCCCAUUAGCAUCAACUAUAGUAGGCAAAGAUGGCAAUGGAGAACUGGUCUGAGUAGAAACUAAACUCAGAACUGGCUGAACUGUGCAAUAUGUGGGACUCACUGAUGGAGCAACUGACUGAACCUGAACAUGUUUUCCAACAAGAGCUGGUGUGUCAACCGUAGCAAAUGGUGGUACUGGUCGUGAGAUAGACUGAAUCUAGAUGCCUAAAGUGCUAAUAGUAUGCUAUCCUCGUUGUUCCCUACGAAUUGGACCAAUUGCUUAGAGGGCUCAACAAGUGUUUCCUUACCCUUUCUCUUGUCAUUGUCCUGAUCAAUAGGCCUAGGAACACGGUCCUCAUCUGUGAUUGCAGUAGGUGGUGGUGCUAGGCAUGUUCCAAACGAACAGUGCUCGUUAAUAUGUCCAAAGUGUUUGCAUCGAAAGCAAUAUUCUGGUUUUUUAUCAUAGAGGACAAUCUGCUAAUAUCCACCACGCUUUUCCCUCUUAAUCCAAACCCUGUCAAGGAGCUUAUACUCUAAAUUAACCUCAAUACAUACCCAAGCCUCACUAGGUUGAUAAAAAUCUGAUGUUGCCUCAUCAAUACGCAGUGCCACUCCAAUUGCCUUAGCUAAGGUAAAUAAACUACUCUUGACCUGAAAAUGAAUGGGCAAUAAAAGAAAGGAAACCGAGACAGAAGCAAUAGGGGUCUCAUAUUGUGGACUGAAACUAGAUGUCCAUUUAAUAACUUGCAUAAAAAAUCCAUCAAUGUACCAAGUGGGUUUGAGGAAUAACCUUGAGUAGUUAUCCUCGUGCACUAAAUGAAUUAAAAUAUGUGAUGAAUCAAUAGGCCUAUCAUGAAAACCAAAUGUCUGAAAGCUAUCAUGUACCUUAACCAUUGAGGGCUUGCGCUGAGAGAAUUUAUCGACAAGUUUAAACUUGUAUGGCUCAGAUAAAAAUUCUUCCUCCUUCUCAGUAAAGGAAAUUGCAGCCUCCCCCAUAUGCAUGAAAGGUUCCUUGGAAGCAGGCCCGUGGUCCCUAAAAUCUUGUGGGGGCCUGAAAGACAAGUGUAAAAGAUUUUCUUUGACUCCUUUCUGCCUAAAAAGUAAUAGGUUUGCCAGAAAGGGCGGCAGCAUAUGAUUUCUUAUCCUAACUCUGUGAUGUCUGACCUACUAGUGGCAACCGAGCUUGAGCUGAACUUCCAGAAAGAAUAGUCGUGCCAAGUGGUCGCAUUAUCUGAGGCAAGGUACCUUGGGAUUUUGCAGCUGGACAUGGAUUAACAUGAUCAAUUUGGUGAGAAAAGACCUGGGAAUCAUGAGGAAUAGUUACUGGUUCAGUUUCUUGAUUUUCGUGCGAAGGCACGCUUUCCAAUGUAGUAAUUCUGUUAAAUUGGGAGGAAAAUUUCCAACCACAAGGAUUUUUGGGGCUAUUGAGAGCAAUGGGAAGGGUAAGACAAUCUGAUUUUGCCCAGGAAUUGUUGAAUUAGCUUGCCUCGUUUUGCGUGCCAUUAGACACUAAUCCCAAAGAGUAGUUUCGGACCGAAUUGGACUUAAUGUGCAUCAUCCUAGGGGUUUUCAUGGCUUCCCAAUUCAAUGGAGAUGGUCCCACACCCAGGAUUCGAGCUGAAUCGAUAGAAUUUAUCGGCACAGAUUGCACCUGAUCCAAGGAAAAGUGACUUUAAAAUUGAAAGAAUUGACGUUAUAGUUGGAGCAAUUAGGACAAGACCCAAUGUUGGUGUUGCUUGAAUUAAGUUUCCAAUGAUUGAAUUGGUGGAUUUGAGCGUACUAGAACCUUCAAUUAAUUGAGAAGAGCCAGUUUCGCUCGCGUUGGUUAUUGUCGAGUUCAAUUCCAAAAUUGGUCCGUCUAACUGAUGAAUUGAUGCUAUUGAAGAAUGACCCAUAGUUGUACCAAUAGUAAUUGAAGGAUUGAAGCCCAGUAGAAUCCUCAAUUGGAAAGGGAUUGGCCAAACCAGUACGUGUGUUACUUAUCUUUUUCAAUUUAUCUAUGUUAGCUCGAAAUUGGUGAUGACCCAUAGGCUGAUUUGAUGCAUCUGGAUGAGGCGUUGCUGGGGGAGGUGGCCCAAAAUUUUCUGAUGAAGGUGCAGUAUUCGUUGUUUGGAGAAAUGGUUGUAAAUUUUGAUUCUCAGUGUUGUUAGGUGUUAUAAGACCAUUUGUAGGUGCUAAAUGAAGAGAUUGUUCGAUCUGGGUGAUGGACAAGGCACGGGUGUCACCGAAAAUAGUAAUUCCAGCUUGUUUUGAUGAGAUUUUUCUACCAUAUCUGUCGGAUCUACGGCCUGUGUUUGAUUAGGUUAUGAGGAGGGCAGGGAGGGCUUCACGUAGGUAUGUUGGUCCGAUGGCCUAGGUGGCCAGAAGUUGUCGAAAAUUAACUCCAUAAAGUGGUGAUGGUAAGAUUGUUUAGGGUAAUUUUAGUAGAGUUUUGAGUAUUGUGAUUCUCAAAAUAUAUUUCUCCUAAAAAAGGGUCUCAAAUAGGGCUUAGCCUAUGUUUAAUUUUGUUUUGAGGUGUUUAUAAGCUCGUUGAUGCGAACCCACGUAAAGGGUCUCAAACAAGGCUUAGCCUAUGUUUAACUGUAUUUUUGGGUGUUUAUAAGCUCGUUGAUACGAACCCACGUAGCAGCGAUGGCUACGAAACUCACAACAAGAUUGUUAGAACCUAGAAAAGAUGAAUUGCAGGUUUAUGAGUUUGAACCAAGAAAUCCAACAAGAUCGUUGCUUGAAACACCCAUUGAUUACAUGUUCAGAUAUUCACGCCCAAGUUGUUUGAACGCCACAAGAAUUAUGAUUCUUGAUAAGUUCAAGAUGUUCAAUGAAGAACGGAAGAAGAAAGCACAAUUGCCUCUCAAAGGAUUCUCUCAAUUUAUUGAAUAAAUUUGUGCAAUGUCGUGUAUUACAAUGAAGAAAUAAAGCCUAUGUUUAUAUUAAGUAUCAAACCCUUAAAAUCUAGUAGAAUUCGUGCAAUAUAAGUCAAAGAUUACGAUAAUAUGAAAUAAGAAUAAAAUCUAGCCUAAUAUGGAAAAUCCCCAAAAAGAAAAUAUUCGCCUAAAUUUUUUCUCUGUGGUCGCAUAGAAGAAGCCUUUGACGCCCAAAAAUUCCUUGCCUGGUUGUAUGGGACCGCAUCAUUGGAUGAACUAUGCGGUCGCGUAGUUGCUGACUUUGGCUCCAACUUCAUCCGCUUCUAUCACAUUGAUCCACUUUGAUUCGGCACUCGACCCGAGCAUGAAAGUUGCCUCAUUUUACAUCCCGAACAUCGUCACAUCCACCCAUCCCUACAUGGACACCACCACCAUCUUCUUUCCCACUCCAACCACCACCCAUCUUCAACUAAUUCCAUACACACUUUUGAAAAUAUGGUUUAAUAAAUUUUAAAUUAAAAAUAAUACGAAAAGCAAAAGCACAAGAGUGAAUGGAAAUGGCUGCCUGGGAUUUUAGCAUGACGAUGCCCUAAGCUUAUUUAAUAUUUAACAUUUUUCAAUUUAUCAGUCUAGUACAAAAUUAAAAAAUUAUUCUCCCAGACUUCAUUCUUAAAAAAGUGUUGUUCAUUUUCUCCUCUUUUUCUUAUCCCUUUUUGGAUGUCCAUUUAAAUUCAAUCUUUAACCUGUAAUUUGAUUUUUUCUUGUUGUAAAUUCAAGAUGGGUUAUGCUUGAAAGUUUGCCAACUGAACAUAUCUAAAUCGACUAUUUUCAAUAGUCCUGCCAAAAUGAAUUCAUGUCAUCAAGGUAUGCUUCAUAAUUAACUCUGAAUGUCAUAUGUGGUGAAAUUAUACGUAAAUCUCAUUUUUUUUCUUCUCGUAGUUUGGUACAGUAUGUCACUAUUAGAGGUAGUGGGAUCGAACAGAUCAAGGGCAGAGCCAAGUACUUUGUCCAGUGCAGGCACAAAUUUAGGUGUCCGCUACAGUAAAUUUUUUGGGGGCCUAAAGUAGUAUAAUUAAUGGAGAUGCACAAACAAAAACUCAAAACACAUUGUACACAUUUAUAUGAGCAAAGAGGCAUGUUUUGUGCAUAUAUUUAUGAAACAAUAGCUGAACAGCUUGAACUACAAAAAUAUAAUCAACUAGGAUUUCCAACCACCUUCAACCUUUACCUGACCCCAGAACUUGCAUUGACACCAGAAAUCGAGCCUUUCAAUUGGGCAAACGUUGGAGCCAAUAUAGCAAUCCGAGAUCAAGCAGUGGCAUCGCAGCGUCGAGGCUCCCUCAGCUUAGAAUCAAAGAUAGGGUUUCAAUCGAUUUACCAGAUUUGGUCUACUGUCUGUGUUACCUUGGUCAGUGGGAACGGUUUUAACUGAUGUAGGCAUAUGGGCUAUGAUCAUGGGUUAAUGUUAAGAAAAGCCCAAUUUAACAAAAAGCCCACAAUUUUUUUUAAAAAAAAUGGCCCAACAACUCACCUUCCCCAUCAAUUCAUCCCUGCUCUUCAGUCUUCACUGCGAUGGCGGCUCUGGAAUUUUCUUCUCUUCUUGGUAUGGACAGAAAAGGCUUACAGGUUACAGUUUAGAAAAAAAUUAUUAGUUAGCUUAAGAAAAAACCCUUAUACCCUUCUUCCACUUCCAGGUUUCCACUCUGCGCUCAACUCUUUGACUUCAAGUGAUGCCUGGAUCUGUCGGAAUUCUCAGUGCUGGCACCGUCUUCAUCUACUGCCUAAAAUUUCAGUGCUUGAAAUCCCAGUGCGGGCACCUACCCUCACUGGUCUGUAGUUGGCUCCGCC
rnacentral:lncRNA from 1 species